GAUGAACGCUGGCGGCGUGCCUAAUACAUGCAAGUCGAGCGAACAGACGAGGAGCUUGCUCCUCUGACGUUAGCGGCGGACAGGUGAGUAACACGUGGAUAACCUACCUAUAAGACUGGGAUAACUUCGGGAAACCGGAGCUAAUACCGGAUAACAUGUUGAACCGCUUGGUUCAACAGUGAAAGACGGUCUUGCUGUCACUUAUAGAUGGAUCCGCGCCGCAUUAGCUAGUUGGUAAGGUAACGGCUUACCAAGGCAACGAUGCGUAGCCGACCUGAGAGGGUGAUCGGCCACACUGGAACUGAGACACGGUCCAGACUCCUACGGGAGGCAGCAGUAGGGAAUCUUCCGCAAUGGGCGAAAGCCUGACGGAGCAACGCCGCGUGAGUGAAGAAGGUCUUCGGAUCGUAAAACUCUGUUAUUAGGGAAGAACAAAUGUGUAAGUAACUAUGCACGUCUUGACGGUACCUAAUCAGAAAGCCACGGCUAACUACGUG
rnacentral:rRNA from 1 species